rnacentral:pre_miRNA from 2 species
UCUGAGUUCCUCAGUCAGUGAAAUAUGCCAAUGCACUGAUUGGAGAAGGCAGAAAA